UGGGGAAUAUUGCACAAUAGGCGCAAGCCUGAUGCAGCCAUGCCGCGUGUAUGAAGAAGGCCUUCGGGUUGUAAAGUACUUUCAGCGGGGAGGAAGGGAGUAAAGUUAUUACCUUUGCUCAUUGACGUUACCCGCAGAAGAAGCACCGGCUAACUCCGUGCCAGCAGCCGCGGUAAUACGGAGGGUGCAAGCGUUAAUCGGAAUUACUGGGCGUAAAGCGCACGCAGGCGGUUUGUUAAGUCAGAUGUGAAAUCCCCGGGCUCAACCUAGGAACUGCAUCUGAUACUGGCAAGCUUGAGUCUCGUAGAGGGGGGUAGAAUUCCAGGUGUAGCGGUGAAAUGCGUAGAGAUCUGGAGGAAUACCGGUGGCGAAGGCGGCCCCCUGGACGAAGACUGACGCUCAGGUGCGAAAGCGUGGGGAGCAAACAGG
rnacentral:rRNA from 1 species